rnacentral:rRNA from 1 species
CCUACGGGCGGCAGCAGUGGGGAAUAUUGGACAAUGGGGGGAACCCUGAUCCAGCGACGCCGCGUGAGUGAAGAAGUAUUUCGGUAUGUAAAGCUCUAUCAGCAGGGAAGAAAAUGACGGUACCUGACUAAGCAGCCCCGGCUAACUACGUGCCAGCAGCCGCGGUAAUACGGAGGGGGCAAGCGUUAUCCGGAUUUACUGGGUGUAACGGGAGCGUAGACGGCGAUGCAAGCCAGAUGUGAAAGCCCGGGGCUCAAUCCCGGGACUGCAUUUGGAACUGUAUCGCUGGAGUGUCGGAGAGGCAGGCGGAAUUCCUAGUGUAGCGGUGAAAGGCGUAGAUAUUAGGAGGAACACCAGUGGCGAAGGCGGCCUGCUGGACGAUGACUGACGUUGAGGCUCGAAAGCGUGGGGAGCAAACAGGAUUAGAUACCCGAGUAGUC